rnacentral:misc_RNA from 1 species
GGCUUUUUACCUGAUAUGUUGUUGUUUGGAUUUUUGAUUGGGGAUGUGAUUCCGAUCACGCUACGACACUGUCUCCCAUGUUCUUCAACUGAAGAUCGACACUCCUUAGAUCGCGGAGAUGCUGUAAGAUUUCUUGGAGAAGCUCUAUGCCUUUGUCUCCUUUUCUUAGGGAGCCAAUGCAAUGUUUUAGAAACUCCCUAUCUGCUUCGAGUGCUUGUAAUCUCUCGUAGACGUGAUCAACCUCUUCCUCAACAGCAACCCUCCUGAAUUCUGAGUCGAAUUUGUUGUCUAAAGACUUCUGCAUGGAAACGGAUUCAAACCCUUGUUCUUCUCCGUUUGUUACAUCUUCAACAACAUCUGCAUCGACUACAUCGUCAAAAAGAGGAAGAAGUCUUUUGGCUUUUGUGCUCAUCACUCUCCUCUCUGGAUAAUGUUUUCCAUUUGUUUCCUUGGGGUUGUGACCGUUUUCAAAUCCAUUUGUUUCUGCAGCAUAACCCGAGUUCUUAUGGUAGCCAUUCCCAUUUUGUUCACAAUAAUGGUCAGUGUCUUCAAAUUGUUGUUCUUCAUCACUCAAAGUGAAGAGCUUCUCUUCCAACAUCUUCAGUUCCUCUAGAAUGGACAGCCUUUCUUCCUCAAAGUUUGCCAAGGUUUCCUCCAAAUAAAGGACUGCCUCAGCCGGGGUGUUUUGAUUCUCCGUUUCUUGGUUAGAAAAGAAAUCUUCGUCUUUCUUUGCCUCGGUGUUCAAAUCAAUAGAUAGCCCAUCGCUAUCAUCGGCAUUGCUACAAGAAACUGAGGAAUUUCGACUUCGGAUGCUCCCUUCUUUUCUGUUCCUUAACAAUGCUAUUUUCUCUUUGGCUUCAUAAUCUUGGAGCUUUUUUCGGUAAACUUCGAUUUCUUUCUCAAGCUCUUGCUUUUCCUUUUCCCUCUUUACCACAAGUUCAUUCAAAAGCUGCAAAGC